rnacentral:rRNA from 1 species
CCCUUAGAUGUUCUGGGCCGCACACGCGCUACACUGAAGGAGGCAGCGUGUACUCCUGGAUCGAAAGAUUUGGGUAACCCGCGAAUCUCCUUCGUGCUAGGGAUUGAGGUUUGCAAUUAUCCUUCAUGAACGAGGAAUUCCCAGUAAGUGCAAGUCAUAAGCUUGCGCUGACUACGUCCCUGCCCUUUGUACAUACCGCCCGUCGCUACUACCGAUUGAAUGAUUUAGUGAGGACUUCGGACUGGGACCGAUGCGGCUUUCGGGCUGCGUCGGUAUUCUGGAAAGAUGUCCAAACUGUAUCAUUUAGAGGAAGUAAAAGUCGUANCA